rnacentral:rRNA from 1 species
UUAAGCGACUAAGCGUACACGGUGGAUGCCCUGGCAGUCAGAGGCGAUGAAGGGCGUGCUAAUCUGCGAUAAGCGCCGGUAAGGUGAUAUGAACCGUUAUAACCGGCGAUACCCGAAUGGGGAAACCCAGUGUGAUUCGUCACACUAUCAUUAACUGAAUCCAUAGGUUAAUGAGGCGAACCGGGGGAACUGAAACAUCUAAGUACCCCGAGGAAAAGAAAUCAACCGAGAUUCCCCCAGUAGCGGCGAGCGAACGGGGAGGAGCCCAGAGCCUGAAUCAGCAUGUGUGUUAGUGGAAGCGUCUGGAAAGGCGCGCGAUACAGGGUGACAGCCCCGUACACAAAAGCGCAUGUGCUGUGAGCUCGAUGAGUAGGGCGGGACACGUGGUAUCCUGUCUGAAUAUGGGGGGACCAUCCUCCAAGGCUAAAUACUCCUGACUGACCGAUAGUGAACCAGUACCGUGAGGGAAAGGCGAAAAGAACCCCGGCGAGGGGAGUGAAAAAGAACCUGAAACCGUGUACGUACAAGCAGUGGGAGCACAGGUUUACCUGUGUGACUGCGUACCUUUUGUAUAAUGGGUCAGCGACUUAUAUUCUGUAGCAAGGUUAACCGAAUAGGGGAGCCGGAGGGAAACCGAGUCUUAAUUGGGCGUUAAGUUGCAGGGUAUAGACCCGAAACCCGGUGAUCUAGCCAUGGGCAGGUUGAAGGUUGGGUAACACUAACUGGAGGACCGAACCGACUAAUGUUGAAAAAUUAGCGGAUGACCUGUGGCUGGGGGUGAAAGGCCAAUCAAACCGGGAGAUAGCUGGUUCUCCCCGAAAGCUAUUUAGGUAGCGCCUCGUGAAUUCAUCUCCGGGGGUAGAGCACUGUUUCGGCUAGGGGGCCAUCCCGGCUUACCAACCCGAUGCAAACUGCGAAUACCGGAGAAUGUUAUCACGGGAGACACACGGCGGGUGCUAACGUCCGUCGUGAAGAGGGAAACAACCCAGACCGCCAGCUAAGGUCCCAAAGUCAUGGUUAAGUGGGAAACGAUGUGGGAAGGCCCAGACAGCCAGGAUGUUGGCUUAGAAGCAGCCAUCAUUUAAAGAAAGCGUAAUAGCUCACUGGUCGAGUCGGCCUGCGCGGAAGAUGUAACGGGGCUAAACCAUGCACCGAAGCUGCGGCAGCGACUUUGUGAUUCAUGACUGGGGUGAAGUCGUAACAAGGUAACCGUAGGGGAACCUGCGGUUGGAUCACCUCCUUACCUGAAAGAAGCGUACUUUGCAGUGCUCACACAGAUUGUCUGAUGAAAAACGAGCAGUAAAACCUCUACAGGCUUGUAGCUCAGGUGGUUAGAGCGCACCCCUGAUAAGGGUGAGGUCGGUGGUUCAAGUCCACUCAGGCCUACCAGAUUUUCCCUGAAUACUGCGUUGUGAAAUAACUCACAUACUGAUGUAUGCUUCGUUAUUCCACGCCUUGUCUCAGGAAAAAUUAUCGGUAAAGAGGUUCUGACUACACGAUGGGGCUAUAGCUCAGCUGGGAGAGCGCCUGCUUUGCACGCAGGAGGUCUGCGGUUCGAUCCCGCAUAGCUCCACCAUCUCGUGAGUGUUUACGAAAAAAUACUUCAGAGUGUACCUGAAAGGGUUCACUGCGAAGUUUUGCUCUUUAAAAAUCUGGAUCAAGCUGAAAAUUGAAACACAGAACAACGAAAGUUGUUCGUGAGUCUCUCAAAUUNGUAAUAGCUCACUGGUCGAGUCGGCCUGCGCGGAAGAUGUAACGGGGCUAAACCAUGCACCGAAGCUGCGGCAGCGAACGUAUCACUUAAAGCGAUUCAGCGGGUUACGAUUGACGGAGCGAAGCGACGUCAAAGCGUAUACAAAGUCGAGUCGGUUUAAGGAUACGUUCGUUGGGUAGGGGAGCGUUCUGUAAGCCUGUGAAGGUGGCCUGUGAGGGUUGCUGGAGGUAUCAGAAGUGCGAAUGCUGUUGGGUAGGGGAGCGUUCUGUAAGCCUGUGAAGGUGGCCUGUGAGGGUUGCUGGAGGUAUCAGAAGUGCGAAUGCUGACAUAAGUAACGAUAAAGCGGGUGAAAAGCCCGCUCGCCGGAAGACCAAGGGUUCCUGUCCAACGUUAAUCGGGGCAGGGUGAGUCGACCCCUAAGGCGAGGCCGAAAGGCGUAGUCGAUGGGAAACGGGUUAAUAUUCCCGUACUUGGUGUUACUGCGAAGGGGGGACGGAGAAGGCUAUGUUGGCCGGGCGACGGUUGUCCCGGUUUAAGCGUGUAGGUGUGUGUUCCAGGUAAAUCCGGUUCACUUUAACACUGAGGCGUGACGACGAGGCACUACGGUGCUGAAGCAACAAAUGCCCUGCUUCCAGGAAAAGCCUCUAAGCAUCAGGUAACAUCAAAUCGUACCCCAAACCGACACAGGUGGUCAGGUAGAGAAUACCAAGGCGCUUGAGAGAACUCGGGUGAAGGAACUAGGCAAAAUGGUGCCGUAACUUCGGGAGAAGGCACGCUGACACGUAG